rnacentral:rRNA from 1 species
CAGUAGCCGCGGUAAUACGUAGGUCCCGAGCGUUGUCCGGAUUUAUUGGGCGUAAAGGGAGCGCAGGCGGUUUAGUAAGUCUGAAGUUAAAGGCAUUGGCUCAACCAAUGUAUGCUUUGGAAACUGUUAGACUUGAGUGCAGAAGGGGAGAGUGGAAUUCCAUGUGGAGGGAUCAAAUCCUAAGAUAUACGAAGGAACGCCAACCGCGAAGGCAGCUCUCUGGGUCCCCACUGACGCUGGGGUGCGAAAGCAUGGGGAGAAAACAGGAUCAGAUACCCCCGUAGUCCCUGUCUCUUAUACC